UACACUUGCACACAAAACACACACGAUUCCCAUCUAUUUGCCAUGGAUUUAUCAGGGACUGUCCUUUGUAACGUCUGGCACAAAUGCAUCUUCUGCAAGACAGAAAAUAAACUGUGAUGGAAGUGCUUUUCAAUGUCUACUGAGAGAAAAAAAAUUAAUAUGAUGCAGUUUAAAAGUCGUAUCUAUCAACACUUCUUCAUUAUUGGAAUUCUCUUUGUAGUUCCUGAUAUAGCCAUUCCCAACAGACUAAAGACAAAGACAGACCCUUUAACCGAACAAAGGAAAGCAGGAGUCUGUGCAUUAGAGCCGUCUAUGUCCUGCUGUUAUGGAUGGAAGAACGUUAAUGGUGUCUGCCAACCAAUAUGUAAAAAGCCCUGUGAGAAUGGAUUCUGCAUUGGGGCUGAUCGGUGCUCAUGCACGAAGGGUUACAAGGGCAAAAACUGCAACGAAG